AUGCGGCUUCUGCUCUGAUUCAGUGGAACCAGUGUGCCUGUCCCGGUCUCCAGUGGGGGACAGGAUUCGUAGGAGCACACAGCUCUGAUCAACAACUGACUUUCAAGAGCAAACACUGUAAGGAGUGUGAGGCGUCCAGUAGGCUGUGGACCACAGACCAGGAAGUGUUUUGCCAUACCAUAGGACAGGCGGCCAUACUGGAGUAACCUCAGAAGUGACCUCUGUUGAUUGCCAGAUACUCAACAUACCCUUAUGAAGUAGGCACUUCAGUUAUCCCAUUUUAUAGGUGAUGUGAAGAUGUGACACAGGCAUCCUGCUCAGGCCUGCCAUAAUGAACACUUCCUCUGAAAACCAUAAGCUGGUGACUUCUGGUACAAGACACUUCAUUCCAUUGUGGAAAGGCCGGGUGACAGAAAUGGUCUGGCUGACCUGGUCCACUGCUGACACUCUUCCUUGAUAGACACCCAAGCUUUCUCCACAGUUGAUGGACACGAUACUGCCUAGCCAAUCCAUAGCCAUGUUUCAGAGGUGAGACCACUCUGACGAGAAGGAACCAUUCAAUGUACCUGACUGCUGAAAAGGAGACGACGGCAAGGAGCAGAGAAGAGACUGAGCGAGCCAGUGGCCACGCUGGCCUGGGGGUAUGGGGGACCGAGUCAGCCACUUUCGCCUCUCAUCUCUCCGGGUCCCCAAAUUCCUGGGGAGACAGAAGGGGCCAUCCCCAUCCAUCUGCUCCUCUCCUCACCCUAAGGACCCCCCCCACUCCGCUUCACACCUGUCCACACUGACAAUGUAUUAAUUUCUAACAAGUAAUACAUAGUGAGUGAUACAAACAAGCAUUCAAAACAUGUAAGAAGUGGGGCUAGAGGGCUGGAAAGAUGGCUUAAUGGUUAAGGUAGUUGUCAGUGAAGCUUAGGA